UACGUAGGGAGCGAGCGUUGUCCGGAUUUAUUGGGCGUAAAGAGCACGUAGGCGGCUCGGUAAGUCGGGUGUGAAAACUCCAAGCUCAACUUGGAGCGGCCACUCGAUACUGCUGUGGCUAGAGUCUGGUAGGGGAUCACGGAAUUCCUGGUGUAGCGGUGAAAUGCUUAGAUAUCAGGAGGAACACCGGUGGCGAAGGCGGUGAUCUGGGCCAGUACUGACGCUGAGGUGCGAAAGCGUGGGGAGCGAACAGG
rnacentral:rRNA from 1 species